rnacentral:RNase_P_RNA from 1 species
AGAGUUAACCAGGCAAUCGCUGCUUUCGUAAGAAAGGAGAGGAAAGUCCGGACUCCAUAGGGCAGGGUGUUGGCUAACAGCCAUCCACGGUGACGUGCGGAAUAGGGCCACAGAGACGAGCGUAUUGAGUUACGGUGAAACGCGGCAACCUCCACUCGGAGCAAUCCCAAGUAAGCAAAUGUUGACAUGGCCCGUCGAGUUU